rnacentral:rRNA from 1 species
ACGCAGCGACGCCGCGGGGGGAUGAAGGUCUUCGGAUUGUAAACCCCUUUCGGGAGGGAAAAUGGGACGGGCAACCGUCCGGAUGGUACCUCCAGAAGCAGCCACGGCUAACUUCGUGCCAGCA